rnacentral:rRNA from 1 species
UACGUAGGGUGCGAGCGUUGUCCGGAAUUACUGGGCGUAAAGAGCUCGUAGGUGGUUUGUCGCGUUGUUCGUGAAAACCUGAGGCUCAACCUUGGGCGUGCGGGCGAUACGGGCAGACUGGAGUACUGCAGGGGAGACUGGAAUUCCUGGUGUAGCGGUGGAAUGCGCAGAUAUCAGGAGGAACACCGGUGGCGAAGGCGGGUCUCUGGGCAGUAACUGACGCUGAGGAGCGAAAGCGUGGGGAGCGAACAGG